rnacentral:rRNA from 1 species
CCUACGGGGGGCUGCAGUGGGGAAUUUUGCACAAUGGGGGAAACCCUGAUGCAGCAACGCCGCGUGAGUGAAGAAGGCCUUUGGGUUGUAAAGCUCUUUCGGCUGUGAAAAAGGGUGACAUGGCUAAUAUCCAUGUCAUUUGAUGGUAGCAGAAGAAGAAGCACCUGCUAACUACGUGCCAGCAGCAGCGGUAAUACGUAGGGUGCAAGCGUUGUUCGGAAUUACUGGGCGUAAAGGGCGCGUAGGCGGGCCUAUAAGUUAGUUGUGAAAUCCCC